rnacentral:rRNA from 1 species
AGUGAACGCUGGCGGUAGGCCUAACACAUGCAAGUCGAACGGCAGCACAGUAAGAGCUUGCUCUUACGGGUGGCGAGUGGCGGACGGGUGAGGAAUACAUCGGAAUCUACUUUUUCGUGGGGGAGAACGUAGGGAAAAUUACGCUAAUACCGCAUACGACCUACGGGUGAAAGCAGGGGAUCUUCGGACCUUGCGCGAUUGAAUGAGCCGAUGUCGGAUUAGCUAGUUGGCGGGGUAAAGGCCCACCAAGGCGACGAUCCGUAGCUGGUCUGAGAGGAUGAUCAGCCACACUGGAACUGAGACACGGUCCAGACUCCUACGGGAGGCAGCAGUGGGGAAUAUUGGACAAUGGGCGCAAGCCUGAUCCAGCCAUACCGCGUGGGUGAAGAAGGCCUUCGGGUUGUAAAGCCCUUUUGUUGGGAAAGAAAAGCAGCAGGUUAAUACCCCGCUGUUCUGACGGUACCCAAAGAAUAAGCACCGGCUAACUUCGUG